AUGGUCUUAAUGUAUCUGAAUUAGGUUUCUGUAUUUACGACGAAGAGAGUUGAUUAUACGGUCACAUAAGAAUGCAGAACGAGGAGGGGAAACUCACUGAGUUAUACGUUCCUAGAAAAUGCUCUGCCACUAACAGACUCAUAACUGCAAAGGACCAUGCCUCGGUUCAGAUGAACAUUGGCCAUUUGGAUGAGAAUGGUAUCUACAAUGGUCAUUUUUCCACUUUUGCUCUCUGUGGUUUCGUUCGAGCACAGGGUGAGGCUGACAGUGCACUAGAUAGGUUGUGGCAGAAGAAGAAGACAGAAGUUAAACAACACUAGAAGUGAUCAAUUUUUUGCCCGAAGUUUCAUGAUUCCUGGACAUAUUUCACUAUUAUGAUUGUGGAACUUUGGUGAUUUUGCGUCUCCUCUGAACUUGAAGAACUAAAUCUGCACCCUGACAAGUGGGAAUAAUGAUCUUUACGUUUGAUGAAAAUCCGUCUAAGCUGCAUUGGCC